rnacentral:rRNA from 1 species
GACGAACGCUGGCGGCGUGCCUAACACAUGCAAGUCGAGCGCAGAAGGUUGGCUUUUGUACCGACUGGAUGAGCAGCGAACGGGUGAGUCACGCGUGGCGACUCUGCCUUUGAGCGGGGGACCACAUUUGGAAACGUAUGCUAAUACCCCAUAAAAACUUUAAACACAAGUUUUUUGUUUGAAAGUUGCAUUUGCUUCACUCAAAUCUGAUUCCGCGUUUUAUUAGUUAGUUGGGGAGGUAAAGGCUCACCAAGGCGUUGAUACAGAGACGACUUGAGCGGGUGAGCGGCCACAUUGGGACUGAGACACGGCCCAAACUCCUACGGGAAGCAGCAGUAGGGAAACUUCGGCAAGGGACGAAAGGCUGACCGAGCAACGCCGCGGGAGUGAAGAAGGUUUUCGGAUCGUAAAACUCUGUUGGUAGAGAAGAAAGUUGGUGAGAGUGGAAAGCUCAUCAAGUGACGGUAACUACCCAGAAAGGAACGGCUAACUACGUG